rnacentral:rRNA from 1 species
UAGAGUUUCAAAAUUUAUAUUAAUUUAAAUUUUUAAAUUCAAAUAAAUAAAUAAAAUUAUAUUUAAAAAUAAUAAAAAUAAUAAAACAAAAACACCAAAAUUUUAAUUAAAUGUAAAGUAAAUUUUAUUGUUGUACCUUUUGUAUCAGGGUUAAUUAAAAAUAAAUAAAUAACUUUAGCUUCUCGAAACUUAAUGAAAUAACUUUUAUUUUAAUAUUGUAUAAAAAAUAUAAAAAAGUAAAUUUUAGAUUUUAAAAGAAUCCAUUUUUUGUAUAUCUAGUUGUUAAAGAUCUAAUUAAAUUUAAAACUAUUUUAAACUUAAAAAUAAAACUUUAAUUUAAAAUUUAUAGUUCAAAUUCUUAAAAGACAAGUUAUAAGAAAAUCCAGAUUAUACAAAUAAAAUAAAAUGAAAUAAUAUUAAAAAUUUAUAAAACUAAAAUUUGUUACAAUAUCAAAAUUAGAACAAAAAUUUUAGAAUAAAUUAAUUGAUUACCAAUUUAACUAUAAAUUAAAACAAUUUAAUAAUAAAAAAAAUGAUUAAAUUAAUAUACUUUAAAAAUAAACUUUAAAAAACUAGGCAAACUUAGUUUUCAACUGUUUAACAAAAACAUAGUUUAAAGAUUAAAUUUUAAAUAAAUUCCGCUCAAUGAUUUAAGUUAAAUAGCUGCAGCAAAUUUUCUGUACUAAGGUAGCAUAAUAAAUUGUUUUUUAAUUAAAAACUUGAAUGAAUGAAAAAAUGAAAAACUAACUAUUUAAAAAGUAUAAAAGUAAAACUUAAUAAUUAAGUUAAAAAUCUUAAAUAUUAUAAAAAGACAAGAAGACCCUUUAGAACUUAAUAAAUAACUUUAAUAAUUUUAAAAUAAUUUUAUUAAAUUGGGGAGAUUAAAAAAUUUAAACAACUUUUUUUAAAAUUAAUCCACCAAUUAGUGUAAAGCUAAAUUAUUACCCACAGUAGUGAAAUAAAAACAAGUUACCUAAGGGAUAACAGCGUAAAAUUUUUGAAAAGAUCAAAUUUAUAAAAUAAAUUACGACCUCGAUGUUGGAUUAAGAAAAUAUAUAAAGAAGAAUUUAUAAUAUUAAGGUCUGUUCGACCUAAAACUCUUACAUGAUCUGAGUUCAGACCGGCGUAAGCCAGGUCAGUUUAUAUCUUUUAUUUAUAAUUUAGUUAUAGUACGAAAGGAUUUAACUAAAUAAAAUAUUU